ACGUAGGGGGCGAGCGUUGUCCGGAAUUACUGGGCGUAAAGGGCGCGUAGGCGGUUCGCUAAGUCCGUUGUGAAAGACCGAGGCUCAACCUCGGGGUGUCAACGGAGACUGGUGGACUCGAGUCUCGGAGAGGAGCGGGGAAUCCCUGGUGUAGCGGUGGAAUGCGUAGAGAUCAGGGGGAACACCGAUGGCGAAGGCACCGCUCUGGCCGAAAACUGACGCUGAGGCGCGAAAGCUGGGGGAGCGAACGGGA
rnacentral:rRNA from 1 species